rnacentral:tRNA from 1 species
UGAGCUUUAAGUUAUAUUAUAAACUAAGGGCCUUCAAAGCCCUAAAAGGAGACCCCAAGCUUAG